AUUGAACGCUGGCGGCAGGCCUAACACAUGCAAGUCGAACGGUAACAGGAAGCAGCUUGCUGCUUUGCUGACGAGUGGCGGACGGGUGAGUAAUGUCUGGGAAACUGCCUGAUGGAGGGGGAUAACUACUGGAAACGGUAGCUAAUACCGCAUAACGUCGCAAGACCAAAGAGGGGGACCUUCGGGCCUCUUGCCAUCGGAUGUGCCCAGAUGGGAUUAGCUAGUAGGUGGGGUAACGGCUCACCUAGGCGACGAUCCCUAGCUGGUCUGAGAGGAUGACCAGCCACACUGGAACUGAGACACGGUCCAGACUCCUACGGGAGGCAGCAGUGGGGAAUAUUGCACAAUGGGCGCAAGCCUGAUGCAGCCAUGCCGCGUGUAUGAAGAAGGCCUUCGGGUUGUAAAGUACUUUCAGCGGGGAGGAAGGGAGUAAAGUUAAUACCUUUGCUCAUUGACGUACCCACAGAAGAGCACCGGUA
rnacentral:rRNA from 1 species